GUGGGUAUAGCUCAGUUGGUUAGAGCAUCGGAUUGUGGUUCCGAGGGUCGAGGGUUCGAGUCCCUUUACCCACCCCA
rnacentral:tRNA from 29 species